rnacentral:lncRNA from 1 species
CAAAGAGUUAAAGAAUCACUCAUCCUUGGAAUUUUGCAAACUUCAAGAGCAAUUUCAGUGAGCAGUACAGGAGAAAUCAGAUUUCAGAAUGCUAAAUGAGUAUAAACUAAGAAAUUGAGAACAGAGAGAAGUGGGCUCAAAAGAGAAGGAAAAAAUUAAGAUGGAUAUAAAUUAAAAGGAUGUUAUGUUCCAGGAAGGGAGAGCUUUGAAUUGGAGGGGGCUAGGUAUAAGAACUACAUUCAUUGGAUAUUUACUAUGCUUUGAUUGCUGAAUCAUGUACCUUACAUAAAUUGGGUAUUAGUUUAUUGAUCAAGUCAGAUCUUGAAGAUGAUGGAACUGGGGGAAAGGUCUAAGGAAAAAAAUGAACAGAGGAGUUGGCCUUGGGUAGCACAAGGGAUUCCUCAUUCUCCGAGACUCAAAAGAGUGGGGGAAAUAGGGGUACAGAUAUAGAUGAGGGGAAACAAAGGCUAAGUUUAUUCAUACAGAUGGCCUCAGUUUUUUUCUAUCAACUAUAAGGUAUUAGACCUUGAACAAAGAUGAGUGGUAAAGCUGGGUAUGGGACUUGAGGAAAUUGGGAAGAUUUUGAAAAAUUACUGAGAGGCUUUUCUUCUUUAUUCAAUAAGUAAUUGUUAAACACCUAUCAUGUAGGUACUGAGAAUACAUGGUCCUUUUUCUUUAGGAAGUUGCCACAUUUAAUAAAUUUUAUGCUUCUGAAGGGUAUAGAGCAUGUUAUAAUCAUUUACAUAUUUCCCAAUGGUGCAUAGCCUAAUACUUUGAGCACAGUAGGGAAAUAUUAAGGUUUUAGGUCAACUGAAUUAAAUCCAAAAGAACUCUUUAUUUUACACAAAGCCUGAGGCUCUUGGGCCAUGGACUGUUUUGGUGGGAGUCCUGUACAACUCAACAGCAGACAUGUACCAGUUGGGAAUACAGAUUGCAAUGUUUAAGAACUGAAAAUACAUUUAGAUUGGGGUUUCUCAAUGUCAGUGCUAUUGACAUUUGGAUAACUCUUUGGGGAGCUGUCUUGUAUGCUCUGGGCUUAGCUGCUCCCCCUUUGUCUACUGACUGGUGUUUGAACAAUCUCCACUUCUCCAGCAGGGAGAAAUGAGGGGACUCAUGUGAUAGUUGUUCUCACCACUUAGAAGCUUUAAAUGGGAGGUUGCCCAUUUUCUUUGAUCUCUUUCUUCUUGAUCUCUUCCUUUAGAAGGUUGUCCUUACCACUAAUACUUUCCAAUGAUUGUACCUAUGUUCAUACAGCACACACAAUGCAUUGCAUCAGAUAAUGUUGGAGUUGGAACCAAAUGUCCAUGGUUUAAAACAAACUUAGCUAUAUAACCUUGGCAAAUUAACUGCAUUAUUUUGUUCUUCCAUUCUUAUAGAGUUGUUUUGAUAAUGAUAUAUGAAGGGUAGAACUUUGUAAACUAUGAUGCACUGUGAAAAAUUGAGAAUUCACAGCUCUUCUUGCCAUGGUGCUUGUGUUCAAGAUGAUUCCUCAUUUGAAGAUAACUGAUCAGGAAGACACUUUAAAGAGAAAACUAAAAAUAUUUGACUUUUUUACAUGUUGGGGAUGAGAGAAAGUCAAAGAUGCCAAAUUUUCUAGGGUUAGUGAAUGUGACAGCAAUGAAGUGAAGGUGUCAUACAUUGAAAUAAGGAUCACUGAAAAGAAGAUUUUUUUAAAAAUUGGGAUAUAAUUUGUAUAACAUAAAAUCCACUCUUUUAAACUGUACAAUUUGGUGGUUUUUUAACAUAUACAUAGAGUUGUGCAACCAUCACCACUAUCUAUUUUAGAAUAUUUUCAUCACCCAAAGGAAAUCUCAUAUCUACUAGAAAUCACGUCCCAUCCUCUCCUACCUUUCUCCUUGGGAACCAUUAAUCUAUUUUUCUCUUUAUGGAUUUGAAUAUUCUGGAAAUUUCUUAUAAAGUGUAUUAUACAAUUUGUGUCUGUCUUAUUUUACUCAUCACGAUGUUUUGAAAAUUCAUCUAUGUCGUAUCAUAUAUCUGUACUCCAUUUUUUAUGGCUGAAUAAUAUUCUAUUGUUUACCCACUCAUCAAUUGGUGGAAUUAGGAUUGUUUCCACUUUGGGGCUAUCCUGAAUAAUGUUCCAAUGAAUAUUCACACACAAAUUUUAAUGCAGACAUUUGCUUUUAUUUCUUUUGGGUGAAUAUUGAGGAGUUUAAUUGCAAGGUAUAUGGUAUCUCUAUAUUUGAAAUUUUUAGGAACUGACAAACUAUUUUUCAAAGUGGCAUAAAAAAUGAUUGAAGGAAAAUCUUAGUUAAGAGUUAACUUGAUUUUGUACAUGUUAAAUUUGGAGUGUUUGCAAGAUCCACAGAAGGCUAUUUUGGGGAGACUGAUAGCUAGUUAUAUGGGUCUUAGGCUUAGAAUAGUAUGAAUCUGAGAUGUAGAUUUUGGCAUCAUCAACAUGUAG